rnacentral:lncRNA from 1 species
CUUCUUUGUCAAUUCCCCUGUCUCCUGAAUGUCUCAUUCUCAAACUCAUUUUGCUUGAAAUUGUGGUGGGAGAUGGUAUGUUUGAAACUUAAUAUGCUGAACACAGAACAGAGUAUCUGCCUGAUCUCUUCUAUGAAAGUGAGUGAAGAAAGACACAAGAAAUUGAUUUCUAGGCGGUAAACCAGGAGAAAGAAUC